GUUGCUUUUUAAUGGUGAACCCCUUCAUAAACCAAAUGAGGGAUGUUCAAGUUUCCGAAGCAUAGAUCAAAUGUCAGUAUUAAACAGCAUGGUGCAUUUCCAGUUGCACAUUGCUACCUGUCUCCUGCAACAAAU
rfam:Ipomoea nil DNA, scaffold: scaffold2159, cultivar: Tokyo-kokei standard.